UGCUGUAUGUGGAUUUCUAACAACAUGAUAAAACAUUCUCAAGAAUAACUUUGUUUCAUCACUAUUUAAAAACCUUGGUGCCUCCCAAACACAGCACAGAAAUCGAGCAGAGGAGAUAGACUUUGGAGACAAAACACACCAACUAAAACGUAUCGUCGUGCACAAACAUGUUACCAGAAACAAUGGAAUAAGAUCAACAAUAUGUAUUAGAAAACUUCUGAAACUAUAUCAUAAGAACACCACCCAAAAACCCAAGGUGUCCCUUUUCUCUCAGCAAUCCCUGGGCAAUCAAGGGAGACUACUUCCUCUUGAUACUCAGGCUGAAAACAAUGGUUCAAAGAAGAUUAAUUCCAAGGAUUUUUGAACAGGUCUAUGCUAGCCAUCUUAAACUGCGAUAGCAAUGGAGCAAGCCGUACAACUUGACAGGUCAACAACAUCAUGACAUGGCGGUGCCAACCGCAGCCGCUCCUCGCGGCACAACAUGGUGCCCUGCCCCUCACACCGCGCCACUGCCGCACUCUUACCUUACCAGGGGCCACAGACCCUGCCGGAUUCUGGAAGUGUCAGCCUCAAAAGAAAGCACAGCCCAAGCCGCUGCUCACUUCACCUUGCUCUCCCUGCAGACAGCACGGCAGCCCACAGCCAAGUAGUGCCAGCGCUGGAAGCUUCCUGAAGGUGGGCGGCAACCGGGGCGGCACAGCCGGGCCUUGCCUCACAGUGGCCCGCAUGCUGUCCCUGCGCUGUGGCUGCCCAGCUGCUGGCAGGCGUUUUCGUGGCUUCUGCAAGCAACUUGUGCAGGACUUGUGCAGAGGGACAAUCUGUCAUGAAAAUACCAGGAGACAGAAACAUACCUCUGUGCAGUCCCUUCAAUUGUUCACUGCAGACACAAAGGAUAGAGCAAAGUUGCAAACCUAUUGGAGAUCCUGAAGGAGUAUCAUUGCCUAUGACUCCCUCUAGUGAUUCUGCUAUGGGAAAUGCAGCCAUCUACAGAUAACAGCCAUAUGAAGUCACCCGAAUUCUUCACUAGAUACAUUUUCAAGACUAGAAUAAAGUUUUUCAUAAUGGCA
rnacentral:lncRNA from 1 species